GAGGGUAUAGGUCAAGUGGUAGAACAUAUGCUUAGCAUACACAAGGGCCUGGGUUCAAUCCCCAGUACUUCCU
rfam:Camelus ferus unplaced genomic scaffold scaffold1006, whole genome shotgun sequence.